rnacentral:lncRNA from 1 species
UCAAUCUCAGAAGCGUGAGGGAAUUGAUUUAUAAAAAAGGUUACAAGAAGCUAUAUAAGCAGAGAACGCAAUCAUCGAGCAUGCUCUGAGCAAGUUUUGGCAUCCUUUGUUUGGAAGUUCUUAUCCACGAGAUCAUGAAUUGUGAUGCCGCAAUUCGAUAUGCUUUGAAUGACUGUGAAACACAUGAUUUCUGGUCGUGACAAUUACAAACAUGUUGUCACAAUAAAUGACUGUUGGUGCUUCUUCUUUUUUUUUUUUUUUUUCUGUUGUAGAUCUUCAAAAAUUCUGCUUACCUAAACUGCUUCACAUGCAGCAUCUGGUUGCUACAGCAUAUUCCUCUUCGACUGAGGGUAAUGCUACAAUUUUUUUGCUUUUAGAUGAUCAUGAAGUUGGUUUUAUGCCCAAGCAAUACAAAUAUCCAGAUGUGCUCGUUCGAUCAUUAACAAAACUUGCCCAAUCACUAUCAAUGAAACCUGUAAGUUUGUUUUCCUUUUCCUUUACAUACUUGAUGCCAAGCUUUCUUGUUCCUUGUGGGUAGAGGAAAAUCCUUUCACCUGGCCCUUGCAUAAAUCUUUAUAUUAGGUUGACUGGAUAGAGAAUAUCAGGCUAUGUAUGUGUUAAAUAAAUUAGAGAACCAACUAAACUUCUGUAAAUUCUUGCAUAUACCUUAGUUUCACCAUUUGCAAUUUCUCAUUUGUUACCAAUAGAGUGGAAAUUGGUUUGCAAUUGUUCAUGUGGAAUUUCUCCAAUAAAUCUUCAAGAUAUUUUUCUUGAGAAAUAAAGAUUUGAACUUUUGCUUAUUGAACUUGAAUGCCCAAGAAAUAUCUCAUGAGACCUAAUUCUAUCAUCUCAUAUUCCUUCAUCAUAGCGUCUUUAAAUUCCUACACCAUCCUAACAUCUGUCCCAGUAUAAAUUAAGUCAUCGACAUUUAGACAAACGAUUAGGAAUUGUUGCUUACCUUUCUAUUUCACAUAAAGAGAUGGUUCACUUUGCCUCUUUUGAAAUCCACUUUGACAAAGACGGUUGUCAAUUUUGCUAUUCUAGGCUUUAAGUUGUUGUUUUAAUCCAUACAAUCCUUUCUUCAAUUUAUAAACCUUAUCCUCUUGACCUUUCAUCACAUAGUUAGGAGGUUGACUUACAUAGACCUCUUUUUAAAGUUCACCAUUGAGGAAGGUAAAUUUUACAUUAAGUUGGUAUACCUCAUACUCCAAUUGAGUUCUUAAUACCUAAGUAGCUCUAAUUGUUUCCAUUCGAGCUACUGGUGCAAUCAUUAAAAUCAAUACCAGGCUACUGUGAAUACUCUUUUGCUUCUAGUUGCGCUUUAUGCUUUUGAAUGCUAUCAUUUUCUUUAUACUUGGUCUUAUAGACCCAUUUUAAUCCAACAAUUUCUUUUUCUUUUGACAAAUCUACCCACUCUCAUGUUUGAUUCUUUUCAAUACUAGUAAGUUCUUCAUUCAUGGCUUUAAUCCAAUGCUCUUCUUUUGCAGCUUCCUCAAAACUUCGUGGUUCACAACAAAAAAAAAAAAAUGCUACAUCACAAGAUUCAUAAAUUUCUCUUAAAGAACUUUCCUUUCUUGGUGGAGAUUUAGAUUCGACCCUUACAUGUGAGCUUGAAGGUUUUGAUGG